rnacentral:rRNA from 1 species
UAGGGAAUCUUCGGCAAUGGACGAAAGUCUGACCGAGCAACGCCGCGCGAGUGAAGAAGGUUUUCGGAUCGUAAAACUCUGUUGUUAGAGAAGAACAAGGACGUUAGUAACUGAACGUCCCCUGACGGUAUCUAACCAGAAAGCCACGGCUAACUACGUGCCAGCAGCCGCGGUAAUACGUAGGUGGCAAGCGUUGUCCGGAUUUAUUGGGCGUAAAGCGAGCGCAGGCGGUUUCUUAAGUCUGAUGUGAAAGCCCCCGGCUCAACCGGGGAGGGUCAUUGGAACCUGGGAGACUUGAGUGCAGAAUAGGAGGGUGGAAUUCCAUGUGUAGCUGUGAAAUGCGUAGAUAUAUGGAGGAACACCAGUGGCGAAGGCGGCUCUCUGGUCUGUAACUGACGCUGAGGCUCGAAAGCGUGGGGAGCAAACAGG